rnacentral:miRNA from 1 species
GGUCUCGCUAUGCAGGCCAAGCUGGCCUGGAACUCACUCUGUAGCCCAGGGUGGCCUGGAACUCACAGAGAUCCUCCUGCCUCGGCCUCCCGAGUGCUGGGAUGACAGGCGUGCACCACCAAGCCCG